ensembl:lncRNA
AUGACAACUGGGUCCUUAUCACAUUUUCCUUCCCUUUCCAGCCUCAUUUCGGUCUUCUCCGUUCUGUUUGUAUUUGCCAGCACCCUCGUCCAGCCAGCCCUGUGUUGCCUUCAUCUUCUCCAGUUACCCAGGGAGACCCAAAAGUUGUCUCUUCUCCGAGUAGGGAACCAGUGGAAUGGAUCCCUGAAACUCAGUGAACAUAGCGUUGCUUCACUCCAGCAUUUCCAUGCACACGAGCAUUCUGUUACCUCUGACACAAUUGCAUCUGAAUCGCUAAGGAUUUGGGAUAAUUCCAGAGUUUUUGACGCUCUCGCUUUGGUGCUUUAUAUUGUUGAAUAGUCUCUUAAGUGCUUUGGGCAGACAACAAAACUACCCAGUUUUCGGAAACCAUCAAUGCUUGGCUACAUGGUCUCAAAGGGUGGAAGUUCCAUCAAUGGCUGCUGUCGACAUGGGGGUGAGGUGCCCAGUGUCCAGGGAGCGAGCAGAAGGUGGCUGUCGUCGUAUUGGUCUUUGCACCUCCACCCCAACCUACAUGGCGGCCGACGGUGAUUUAUUUCAACGGAACAAAGGAAGUGUCCUUCACAUUUUCUCUCUUCAUGGGCCGUGAAAGAGGCACCCAAAAGCUUCUCAAACCAUAGCAGGAAGGAGAUGGGAGACAGACCCAUGGGGACAGUCGGAGCUGGCUGUUCUCAUUUGGGGAGAAGGUUCAUUAUCUUUCUUUAAAUUUCCUCUCACACUGGGAAGCCGUUAUGAUUCUGGCCCGCCUCCUGACAUUUUUAUGACUUCGUUUAUUUUAAUACAUGGUUCAUUGUUUGUUUUGGAACAGCCCUCAAAAAAUUCCUCCAAAUGGCCCUUCAGCGUAGCUGAUGAGACAUUUCAUCAUGUCCUCUCUUGUCACUUCUUACUAGCUGCCUAAACUUUUCUCUUGGGUGAGGGUAUAAAGCUCUGUGAGAGCGCUUUAGGACCAUGGCACUGGUGUGCCUCUUCCUCGGAUGGUUCCAUAACAGUUGGUCUCUUUACACGGAGAUUUGUGUCGGGCCCCCCACUCUCAAUAGGGGGAAAUAUGACGCGUCCCCUCAACUUGAAGAAGAAGAAGGAGAAAAAAAAAACCUUUUAAAUUCAAUUAAGUAACAACCAGCAGCAGCAGAAGCAGGCCACUAAAAGGCAUUUCUUUCUCUCGGAGUGCUUUUCUUUCCCGGGGGGGCAGAAGGGCUGCUGUGCAGUUAAGAGUCACAUGUUUGAUUGACUCGCUCCCAAGCUGAUGUUCACACUGCUGUAUUCAUCUUGCUCCGUCGACUGUGACAUGCCGCCCGGAUGCGGCGAGGCUGACAGGGAAUGUGAGGGGGACCAGACAGAUGACGACGUCUCCGUUCUUCAGAGCCCGUGCUGGACGAUCUGUCACCUGAUGAUAGGCCACAGCCUGUCAUUUAUUUACUUACAGCUUUAAUGUGGGUAAAGUGAGCAGAAGAAGGGGGGGGGUGACAAGAGGCAAAGAGAAAGUGAGCGGUUGCAGGAAAGAGAAAUCUGACAGACCCUUUUCGGCAUCAAAAUAUCAACAUCCGUCUCGUACCUCUCAGUGGGCAUGCCUGCCCAGGAGCCAAUUAUCAGCAGCAUCCUGGCCAAGAAAGCAGAUUUGCAAAGCAGGAACUUCAGCCAUGGAGCCUUCGGGGGUGGGGUCGACAAACCACACGGCCUCUUGAUGCUAUUAAGUGCCCUGAAUUUCUUGCACAUUUAAUUUCGGCAAUAUUCGGUGAUGGUUUUAGCGAGCGUGUGUUCCUUUCGGUUCUUUAACCUGUACACAUCUUACGGAGUAAUUUGUGUGCACUAUGGAAAUCACCAUCCGAGUGUCCCUUUAGCUUUAAAAGUGCUGCUAAAGAUCUGGUCUUGACGACAACACCUUCGAAAGCCACUGACCUGGCUGUUUUAUGAGAUGACAUCCUGGUUACGGGAAGGAGACACCUGAAAUAUACCCGGGCAAACAACAAUAGAUAUUUUAACUACUGAUUCUGCAGGAACAAAACUGACUAUUCAUAUUUUAAGAAAAUCUUGUAAACCAAAAUAUUUGUCUUCUCCUGUGUCUAAAUGAAUAAAAUAUUCUUGAGUUAAACA